rnacentral:rRNA from 1 species
AUUGAACGCUGGCGGAAUGCUUUACACAUGCAAGUCGAACGGCAGCACGGACUUCGGUCUGGUGGCGAGUGGCGAACGGGUGAGUAAUACAUCGGAACGUGCCCAGUCGUGGGGGAUAACGUAGCGAAAGCUACGCUAAUACCGCAUACGAUCUAAGGAUGAAAGCGGGGGAUCGCAAGACCUCGCGCGAUUGGAGCGGCCGAUGGCAGAUUAGGUAGUUGGUGGGGUAAAGGCCUACCAAGCCGACGAUCUGUAGCUGGUCUGAGAGGAUGAUCAGCCACACUGGGACUGAGACACGGCCCAGACUCCUACGGGAGGCAGCAGUGGGGAAUUUUGGACAAUGGGCGCAAGCCUGAUCCAGCCAUUCCGCGUGCAGGACGAAGGCCUUCGGGUUGUAAACUGCUUUUGUACAGAACGAAAAGCUCUGGGUUAAUACCCUGGGGUCAUGACGGUACUGUAAGAAUAAGCACCGGCUAACUACGUG